GGGUGUUUGGUCUAGUGGUAUGAUUCUUGCUUUGGGUGCAAGAGGUCGUGAGUUCGAUUCUCACAACACCCC
rfam:Ipomoea nil DNA, scaffold: scaffold2283, cultivar: Tokyo-kokei standard.